AUGCGCGAGGAAGCCAGAUUCCAUGACCGUCACGGUGAAGUCAGUUAUGUGCGUAUGCUAACUAACACUGAGAUACCACCUGGGGCGGAGAUGGUCCUCCAAGGGCGUGUGCGAGGUGGACCAGGGGGCCGUACAUACCUGGGGUUGGUUGAAGCUACACCAGAGACCAAGGCCUAUUGGAUAGCUCGGGCUGUGGUGUCCGCUAAGGCAACACGUGUUCCAGUACGGCUGAAGAAUGUGUGUAACCGCCCCUUGUUUCUUACGAAGUAUCAAAAGUUGGCACAAAUGUCUUUGAUUAAACCUACAGAUGUCAUCUCGGGGACCGUGCAGCUGUCAAUGGAGACAGCUGGUGUGAUGGAAGUUCAUCUUCAACCAGAGCCCCCACUUACCAUCCCCGACCAAAGUGACAUACCAGUAGAUUUGGAUGGUUCUGCCUUGUGUCCUGAACAAACCAAAGAGGCCAAAACCCCAGAAGACAACGACUCAGACCUGGUCGAAACCGUGUGUGCUGAAGUGGUGCUGGCCUGCUGUAAUGCGGUAGGUGUGAGGCCCUCCACCAGUGAGCCUCUUGAUGCUCCGAACCAGUGUCCUGAACUAACAUCCGUGGACUGGAAACAAGCCCAGGUGGACGAUCAUGUGACCCGUACAGUCACAAAAGCACUUGGAAGGACACAUCUUACACCAGCAGAAAGAGCAGUGCUGUCCCAAGAUGCAAUGCGCCUCCUAAGGCAUCGUCCAAGGCUUUUCCUGAAGAAUGGAGUGCUGCACCGUAAGCUGCCAGAUCCCAAAACUUUGGCUGAAUGGCACCAGCUGGUAUUGCCGCCGGCGUGGAGGCAGGAGGCCUGGCAGCUGUGCCAUGAAAAAGCAGGCCACUUCGGAGGGGAAAAGACAUUGCAUUUGAUGCAAAGCCGUUUCUUUUGGGUGGGACAGGCCAAGGACAUUCUAGAAUGGAGUGCAUCCUGCCCACGGUGCGUUCUGCGCAAAGCGCCUACCACCCAGACCAAAGCUCCCCUUGUCCCGAUCA
rnacentral:lncRNA from 1 species